AUUGAACGCUGGCGGCAUGCCUUACACAUGCAAGUCGAACGGCAGCACGGGAGCAAUCCUGGUGGCGAGUGGCGAACGGGUGAGUAAUGUAUCGGAACGUACCUUUCAGUGGGGGAUAACGUAGCGAAAGUUACGCUAAUACCGCAUAUUCUGUGAGCAGGAAAGCAGGGGAUCGCAAGACCUUGCGCUGAUUGAGCGGCCGAUAUCAGAUUAGCUAGUUGGUGAGGUAAAGGCUCACCAAGGCGACGAUCUGUAGCGGGUCUGAGAGGAUGAUCCGCCACACUGGAACUGAGACACGGUCCAGACUCCUACGGGAGGCAGCAGUGGGGAAUUUUGGACAACGGGCGCAAGCCUGAUCCAGCCAUGCCGCGUGAGUGAAGAAGGCCUUCGGGUUGUAAAGCUCUUUCAGCCGGGAAGAAAACGCAUGGGUUAAUACCCUGUGUGGAUGACGGUACCGGAAUAAGAAGCACCGGCUAACUACGUG
rnacentral:rRNA from 1 species